rnacentral:misc_RNA from 1 species
AAGUCGUAACAAGGUUUCCGUAGGUGAACCUGCGGAAGGAUCAUUACCAUACCUUCACACAACAAGCCCUGCGCUUUCGAGAGAAUUGCAGGCACAAACUACGAGGGAGCGCCGCGCGGUUCCGCGCGGCGUGAGGGAGUCGGCCAUGCUGACAUGAGUGGCCAGCUCUAGCGCCGUUCCCCCAUUGAUGGCGACAUUAGUGGGGACCUCUGAGAACGGACUCGGUGCUUUCACCGAACCCUGUGCUUGAAAAGGAACCAUAAUGCAGUACAACUGCAAACGGUGGAUCACUCGGCUC